CUCAAAAUAGAAGACCAUAUUUCCAGUAUAUCGAUGUCCCAUGCAAAGGCCUCGUUACAUUUAUCUCAUUGCUGGCUCGGAAUAUGGAGCUGCUAGCUCACCAAGCCUUCAAACAUUCAGCCUUGAAAACCGCUCAAAUUUUCCAAAGCUUCAGUGGAGCAAAUUAAGCUUCCAUGGGCUCUGGCGUCUCUGUGACGGUUUCUGGUGUAAUCUUG
rnacentral:misc_RNA from 1 species